AUUUAAGUUAGAAAAACUACUAUCCUUCAAAGAUAGCCUCCAUGUAAUAACAGGUAGUG
rnacentral:tRNA from 1 species